UGAUCGAGAGAGCGAGCGGCGAGAGGCAGAGGAGGGGCAGCGGCGAGAGAGAGAGAGAGAGGGGAGGCCGUUGCGGGAGAGGGAGAGGAGCAGCGGCGAGAGAGUGAGAGGAGCAGCGGCGGGAGAGGAGAGGGGCAGCGGCAGGAGAGGGAGAGGGGCAGCGACCGGAGAAGGUGGCGGGAAAAAGGAGUGGUGGGGCGGAGGUGAGUAUGGGGCAUUCAGUUGUUUUAUAGCUAAGAAAAACGCGGCCGCUGCUCGAAGAUCCGCUUCCUGCACACCUACACAUCGCCGCGGUCUCGAGCUAUAUCCGUUGCUUCCGCACCUGCACCUAGCCACGGGCUCGCCGCCUAGACCUCGCCGCCUAGACCUCGCCGCGGGCUCGUUGCCUCCCUCUACCUCAAGGGAGGACCGCACCGCCGAGCUAGACGUUGCGGGCGUCGACGCCAUGCGGUGGGAGCGACGACAGCGUCCCUCUACGGCGAGAAGGGGAAGGGCCAGGCGGGACUACACCAAAGGAGAGGCACUGGGCAGUAGCCUCCGUGCCGGUCUCCGUAGGGGCGGCGCACGUCGACGAUGAGGGCCUACGGCGGCGGCGGGAGGCGUUCCUCGCUGCUAUUGGACUUCGAGACGCCGGGCCACACGCGGCUCGCCGCGCGGCGCCCCCGUGGCAGCGGCCGGCCGGUGUGCUGUAGCGAGAGCAGGUCGAUCUUCGUACGCGACAGCACCGGACGGAGGCCGACGAAGUCGUCCGGUUCUUUGACCUUGCGUGGGUACGGGCCGCUGGAGUCGUAGAGGUAGCUACUACUAUUAAACUAGCUUUUCCCUGCCGUACGACUCCACAUGUUUCCUGUCGAACGACUAACUAUCAAACACCGUCACUUCUCCAAUUGUUUUUAUGAAUUGGUUCGUACGACUCCACUCGUCUCAUCUCUGACGGAUGCUAGUACUAGAUCUCAUCGUACCUCAUUUUACAAACGUUCUCAUGUAAAUGUCCGUACUCAUGUUACUUAAUUGGUUAACAACAGUCAACUUUGAAUUUCAAGUCUGUACUUCAUCAGAAUCUCUGGGUACAUGAGGAACAUAAGUACAACAGUCAACUUCAACCACAAACGUUCUCAUGUAAAUGUCCGUACUCAUGUUACUUAAUUGGUUAACAACAGUCAACUUUGAAUUUCAAGUCUGUACUUCAUCAGAAUCUCUGGGUACAUGAGGAACAUAAGUACAACAGUCAACUUCAACCAUAGAACGAACAAAGGUUCAGAACGCCAACAUGUACUACCAAAGUAGUUUACCUACACUUGACUUACAUACAGGUCAAAUGUGGCUACAUUGGACUAAGACUUUCUUACGGUGUAUGUCUACCGCAGCUGGAACCGGAGGAGCAGCUAGACUGAGACGUAAUUCUUUUGAACGACCGUAGUUCACAGGGGGAAGGAGGUGGCCGUCGGAAGGUAGCUUAAGUGUAGUCUUUUGAAGUAAGUAAGUGGGUCUUUUUUAUUGACUGUAACGGUUGUAGAGUGUUCUUUCUUCUCUCGUCUCAACUUCAACGCUCGGACAAAUGAACGUCGAUGUGGACACAAGAAGAAGAAGAAGCGUCUUAGUUAGUCCAAAUGAACGUCGGAAUGAGUGAAACACAGAAUCAAUUAGUAUAAGGAGUUAACUCCUUGUGGACCUGAACAGUAAGGCCAGAACCCUAGUUGUCAUCGUAUACCUGAAUAGUAAGACCAAAAACCUACUAAAUCAAUUAGUUUAACUGUAGUUAACUGGACAGAAAACCUAGUUAACGUCUAAGAGAACUAACCUCACCUCUCCUCGUCUCUGCUCUCCUCGUCGUCUUCACCUGUCGCGUUGCCGACUGGAGCUCGAGAACUAACCUCAACCCCGUCCGCCGGCCGCUUCCUAGACACCGGUUGUCACUUCCUAGGCUUCGACACCGCCUCGUCCGUCGGCCGCCCUUCCCGCCGGCCGCUCCCUCGACGCCUGGCGCCGCCCCUUCCCGCCGGCUACUCCCUCGACGCCUGGCACCGGCCCUUCCUGCGGUCUCUACGCCUGCUGCCUCCUCGGACCGCUUUCCCUUGUCGCUGCCGCAUCUUCGGACCGCCUCCCCUCCUCGCUGCCUCCUUCUGCGGAGGGCUAACUAAAGUUUAGCCCCCAUCAUAACAUGAAAGUGUGACAAAGUGGACCAGCCUUGCUGCGGGGGUCGCUGUUAAUAAAGCCUUGCCUCCCUCAUUUAUCACCAUCUGUAGCACGUACCUCUUGUGUAUAUGAUGCAGACAAGGUAGGUUAUUUUUUCUUAGUUUAUAUACGUAGAUUAAGAGG
rnacentral:rRNA from 1 species